rnacentral:rRNA from 1 species
UACGUAGGUGGCGAGCGUUGUCCGGAUUUACUGGGCGUAAAGAGCGCGCAGGCGGUCGUACAAGUCGCGUGUGAAAGCCCCCGGCUCAACUGGGGAGGGUCACGCGAUACUGUUCGACUCGAAGGCAGGAGAGGGAAGUGGAAUUCCCGGUGUAGUGGUGAAAUGCGUAGAUAUCGGGAGGAACACCAGUGGCGAAGGCGACUUCCUGGCCUGUUCUUGACGCUGAGGCGCGAAAGCGUGGGGAGCGAACAGG